rnacentral:rRNA from 1 species
AGGUGCUGCAUGGCUGUCGUCAGCUCGUGUUGUGAGAUGUUGGGUUAAGUCCCGCAACGAGCGCAACCCUUAUCCUUGUUUGCCAGCGAGUAAUGUCGGGAACUCCAGGGAGACUGCCGGUGAUAAACCGGAGGAAGGUGGGGACGACGUCAAGUCAUCAUGGCCCUUACGAUUAGGGCUACACACGUGCUACAAUGGCGCAUACAGAGGGCGGCCAACUUGCGAAAGUGAGCGAAUCCCAAAAAGUGCGUCGUAUCCGGAUUGGAGUCUGCAACUCGACUCC